GACGAACGCUGGCGGCGUGCUUAACACAUGCAAGUCGAACGGAAAGGCCUCUUUCGGGGGGUACUCGAGUGGCGAACGGGUGAGUAACACGUGAGUAACCUGCCCUUGACUUUGGGAUAACUUCAGGAAACUGGGGCUAAUACCGGAUAUGAGCUCCUGCUGCAUGGUGGGGGUUGGAAAGUUUCGGCGGUUGGGGAUGGGCUCGCGGCCUAUCAGCUUGUUGGGGGGGUAGUGGCUUACCAAGGCUUUGACGGGUAGCCGGCCCGAGAGGGUGAACGGCCACAUUGGGACUGAGAUACGGGCCAGACUCCUACGGGGGGCAGGAGUGGGGAAUAUUGCACAAUGGGUGGAAGCCUGAUGCAGCAACGCCGUGUGCGGGAUGACGGCCUUCGGGUUGUAAACCGCUUUCGCUCAUGACGAAGCUUUGUGUGACGGUAGUGGGUAAAGAAGCACCGGCUAACUACGUG
rnacentral:rRNA from 1 species